rnacentral:rRNA from 1 species
UACGUAGGGUGCGAGCGUUAAUCGGAAUUACUGGGCGUAAAGCGUGCGCAGGCGGUUAUUUAAGUCAGGUGUGAAAGCCCCGGGCUCAACCUGGGAAUUGCAUUUGAGACUGAAUAGCUAGGGUGCGGAAGAGGGAAGCGGAAUUUCCGGUGUAGCGGUGAAAUGCGUAGAUAUCGGAAGGAACACCAGUGGCGAAAGCGGCUUCCUGGUCCAGCACCGACGUUCAGGCACGAAAGCGUGGGGAGCAAACAGG